GGUUCCCGCCGGCGCCUCUCCCUCCACACAUCCCCGCAAGCUGAGGGAGCCGGCUCCGGCCUUGGCCAGCCCAGAAAAGGGCUCCCACAGUGCAGGGGUGGGCUGAAGGGCUCCUCAAGUGCCGCCAAAGUGGGAGCCCAGGCAGAGGAGGCGCGCCCAGAGCGAGCGAGGGCUGUGAGGACUGCCAGCACGCUGUCACCUCUCAGUCAGCGCCCACAGAUAAUAGCAACACACUAAGGUCCUCAAGGUACAUCGUUGGGAUCAAGCAACUUUGAUUGCAAGGAGAAGAAUAAAAACAAGAGGGACGACUGGACCAAGGUGCCAUGUGAAGUGACCUGUGAGGAUCAACCCAGUGAAGAUGCUUGAGGAAGACAUGCUAGAGCAAAAACUACAACUCUAGUCCUCUUGGAUAUUUUAGAUAAGGACUUUACCCACAUAAAAAAGGUGUUGCCCUGGGGACUGGCUGAGAGAAAUUACAGACUGUUACUCACUUCAAAAGAAACUGACUUUGCUACAAUGGUACUUACGUCACCAGAAACCAACACUUCCACAAAGAAUUUGAUUUGAUGGCAUCAUGUGGACAUAGAACUCUCAUAGUAAUGACCCAACCUGUGUUUCCAGUCAUCCUGAUGAACUCUCAACAAAAUCAGAUUGUUAUACUGUUGUUCUCACUUUACACCCAUAUUUUCUCUUGCUCCUAAAAAAGGUAUCUGGUAUUAAAUAGAAUUCUGUAUCUUAAAAACUUGCCAUUGAGAAAAAUGAGAAGUAAUUGUACAUUUUAAUACUGAAGGUUUUAAUAAAAAAAAGCAAUGUGAA